AGCAACUCAAAUACUAUGUCCAUCUCAAAACCACCUGGUGACUCUCUGCAACACCUUUUGCUUGUCAGGAGGAGGAGACUGGAAGGUGUGAUGACAGACAGAGAUGUCCCUGACCUUAACCAAGUGGUUUUAGUUGCCAAACUUGAAUGAAUGAUGCUGGAGGAAGUCAGACUCCUCGAUGCCAUGCAAAUGAAUACAGAUGCCUGGAAUCAACUCAGAGACGAUGAAGUAGCCAUUAGCAGCGUUGAUAUGACCUCGAACUCAACUUUUCAUUACAAAACA